CCUAACAGUGAAGUGGGAAGCUCAAGGACCUUGCUGUGUUAGAGGGAGAGUGUGACAUGCUGUGCAUCCCAAGCAAAGGAGAAGCUCAGAAGAGAUCCAUGAACAUUUGAAGUGAGGGAGGAACCUCCAAACACAUCAGGUUUUGAUGUUCCUUAUGCAAGGAUUCUAACUGCAGCAUGCUCCCCACUGUAGGAUGCACAGACAGAAGGUGAAAUAUGACAGGAACGAUGCCUACAUCUUCACCCUCAGAAAGAGAUGCUCUCACUUCAGCCUGGUGCAGCAGUAGAUGGAGGAUGAGAGCGAAUCCCAUCUCUGGAUACUCCAGGGCCAUCAAUGCCUGUGGCAGAUUCAGAAUGUUUCUGGGCAGCAUGGCCCUGGCUUCCAAGAAAAAAUUAUUAAAAGAAAAUUCAUAAUUCUGCAUUUAACCAUGUU